AGUCAAUAGAUACCCUGGUAGUCCCAGCUGUAAACGAUGCGCGUUAGGUGUAUCGGUGACCACGAGUCACCGAGGUGCCGAAGGGAAACCGUGAAACGUGCCGCCUGGGAAGUACGGUCGCAAGGCUGAAACUUAAAGGAAUUGGCGGGGGAGCACCACAACAGGUGGAGCCCGCGGUUUAAAUCGGACUCAACGCCGGGAAGCUCACCGGAUAAGACAGCUGAAUGAUAGCCGGGUUGAAGACUCUGCUUGACUAGCUGAGAGGAGGUGCAUGGCCGUCGUCAGUUCGUACUGUGAAGCAUCCUGUUAAGUCAGGCAACGAGCGAGACCCACGCCAACAGUUGCCAGCAUGUCCUCCGGGAUGGUGGGGACACUGUUGGGACCGCCUCUGCUAAAGAGGAGGAAGGAAUGGGCAACGGUAGGUCAGCAUGCCCCGAAUUAUCCGGGCUACACGCGGGCUACAAUGGUCAGGACAAUGGGUAUCAACACCGAAAGGUGAAGGCAAUCUCCUAAACCUGUCCUU
rnacentral:rRNA from 1 species